UGACCUGGCUGGGAGCCUCGGUGGCGGUCCAACCGAUGGGAGGAGGAAACUGCUGUCGAACCUGCACAAUCAGAGCAAAAUGGAAGUUCACAGGAACUGCUGGAGAACUGGGCCAGCUCAUCACAUUCAAGUGCAUUAAAUUCCAAAUAAGAACAAAAUCUAGAAGUACCAAGAGACAAACCACCUCCAAAGAGCUCUGGGAAUUCUGUCCCACCCAGCCAGAGUCCAAUGUUCCCCUCCAGGUGCAGGACAGAAAACCUCAGGAGAUUCUCUUUUCCUGAUAAUGGAAGACCAUG